ACAUGCCACCGUUGAGUCAGCCAUGGUCAAGGGUCGGGUUUUGGGUUCAGAGGGUUCAGUUUUGUGUCUCUGGGUGUGUCCCAUGGGUGUAUCCCCUGGGCGUGUCCCCAGGCGUGUCCCAUGGGUGUGUCCCUGGGUGUGUCCCCGUGCGUGUCCCAUGGGUGUGUUGUGUCCCAUGGGUGUGUCCCUGGGCGUGUCCCCAGGCAUGUCCCAUGGGCGUGUCCCUGGGUGUGUCCCCGGGCGUGUCCCAUGGGUGUGUCCCUGGGUGUGUCCCCAGGCGUGUCCCAUGGGUGUAUCCCCUGGGCGUGUCCCCGGGCGUGUCCCAUGGGUGUGUUGUGUCCCAUGGGCGUGUCCCUGGGCGUGUCCCCAGGCAUGUCCCAUGGGUGUAUCCCAUGGGUGUAUCCCAUGGGUGUGUCCCUGGGCGUGUCCCUGGGCGUGUCCCUGGGUGUGUCCCAUGGGCGUGUCCCUGGGCGUGUCCCUGGGUUGUGUUGUGUCCCAUGGGUGUAUCCCUCGGGCGUGUCCAAUGGGUGUAUCCCAUGGGCGUGUCCCUGGGCGUGUCCCCGGGUGUGUCCCGGGCGUGUCCCGGG
rnacentral:lncRNA from 1 species